UACAGAGGUCCCAAGCGUUGUUCGGAUUCAUUGGGCGUAAAGGGUGCGUAGGCGGCGCGGUAAGUCGGGUGUGAAAUCUCGGAGCUUAACUCCGAAACUGCAUUCGAUACUGCCGUGCUUGAGGACUGGAGAGGAGACUGGAAUUUACGGUGUAGCGGUGAAAUGCGUAGAUAUCGUAAGGAAGACCAGUGGCGAAGGCGGGUCUCUGGACAGUAACUGACGCUGAGGCGCGAAAGCUAGGGGAGCAAACAGG
rnacentral:rRNA from 1 species